rnacentral:rRNA from 1 species
ACGCUCGACACCUACGGGAGGCAGCAGUGAGGAAUAUUGGUCAAUGGACGCAAGUCUGAACCAGCCAUGCCGCGUGCAGGAUGACGGCUCUAUGAGUUGUAAACUGUCUUUUGUACGAGGGUAAACGCAGAUACGUGUAUCUGUCUGAAAGUAUCGUACGAAUAAGGAUCGGCUAACUCCGUGCCCGCAGCCGCGGUAAUCUGAGCGGGCUGGCAAGGC